rnacentral:rRNA from 1 species
AUUCUUCCGCAAUGGACGAAAGUCUGACGGAGCAACGCCGCGUGAGUGAUGAAGGUUUUCGGAUCGUAAAGCUCUGUUGUUAGGGAAGAACAAGUGCCGUUCAAAUAGGGCGGCACCUUGACGGUACCUAACCAGAAAGCCACGGCUAACUACGUGCCAGCAGCCGCGGUAAUACGUAGGUGGCAAGCGUUGUCCGGAAUUAUUGGGCGUAAAGGGCUCGCAGGCGGUUUCUUAAGUCUGAUGUGAAAGCCCCCGGCUCAACCGGGGAGGGUCAUUGGAAACUGGGGAACUUGAGUGCAGAAGAGGAGAGUGGAAUUCCACGUGUAGCGGUGAAAUGCGUAGAGAUGUGGAGGAACACCAGUGGCGAAGGCGACUCUCUGGUCUGUAACUGACGCUGAGGAGCGAAAGCGUGGGGAGCGAACAGGAUUAGAUACCCUGGUAGUCCACGCCGUAAACGAUGAGUGCUAAGUGUUAGGGGGUUUCCGCCCCUUAGUGCUGCAGCUAACGCAUUAAGCACUCCGCCUGGGGAGUACGGUCGCAAGACUGAAACUCAAAGGAAUUGACGGGGGCCCGCACAAGCGGUGGAGCAUGUGGUUUAAUUCGAAGCAACGCGAAGAACCUUACCAGGUCUUGACAUCCUCUGACAAUCCUAGAGAUAGGACGUCCCCUUCGGGGGCAGAGUGACAGGUGGUGCAUGGUUGUCGUCAGCUCGUGUCGUGAGAUGUUGGGUUAAGUCCCGCAACGAGCGCAACCCUUGAUCUUAGUUGCCAGCAUUCAGUUGGGCACUCUAAGGUGACUGCCGGUGACAAACCGGAGGAAGGUGGGGAUGACGUCAAAUCAUCAUGCCCCUUAUGACCUGGGCUACACACGUGCUACAAUGGACAGAACAAAGGGCAGCGAAACCGCGAGGUUAAGCCAAUCCCACAAAUCUGUUCUCAGUUCGGAUCGCAGUCUGCAACUCGACUGCGUGAAGCUGGAAUCGCUAGUAAUCGCGGAUCAG